rnacentral:rRNA from 1 species
AUUGAACGCUGGCGGCAUGCCUAACACAUGCAAGUCGAACGGAGAUAGGGGCAACCUUAUUUCAGUGGCGGACGGGUGAGGAAUGCGUCGGAAUCUGCCCUAUGGUGGGGAUAACACAGGGAAACUUGUGCUAAUACCGCAUAAUGUCGAGAGACCAAAGCAGGGGACCGCAAGGCCUUGCGCGAUAGGAUGAGCCGAGCCCGAUUAGCCUUGUUGGUAGGGUAAUGGCCUACCAAGGCGACGAUCGGUAGCUGGUCUGAGAGGAUGAUCAGCCACACUGGGACUGAGACACGGCCCAGACUCCUACGGGAGGCAGCAGUGGGGAAUAUUGGACAAUGGGCGCAAGCCUGAUCCAGCAAUGCCGCGUGUGUGAAGAAGG